rnacentral:rRNA from 1 species
GACGAACGCUGGCGGCGUGCUUAACACAUGCAAGUCGAACGGAAAGGCCCUGCUUUUGUGGGGUGCUCGAGUGGCGAACGGGUGAGUAACACGUGAGUAACCUGCCCUUGACUUUGGGAUAACUUCAGGAAACUGGGGCUAAUACCGGAUAGGAGCUCCUGCUGCAUGGUGGGGGUUGGAAAGUUUCGGCGGUUGGGGAUGGACUCGCGGCUUAUCAGCUUGUUGGUGGGGUAGUGGCUUACCAAGGCGUUGACGGGUAGCCGGCCUGAGAGGGUGACCGGCCACAGUGGGACUGAGGUACGGCCCAGACUCCUACGGGAGGCAGCAGUGGGGAAUAUUGCACAAUGGGCGGAAGCAUGAUGCAGCAACGCCGCGUGCGGGAUGACGGCCGUCGGGGUGUAAACCGCUUUCGCCUGUGACGAAGCGUGAGUGACGGUAAUGGGUAAAGAAGCACCGGCUAACUACGUG